UACAGAGGGGGCAAGCGUUGUUCGGAAUUACUAGGCGUAAAGGGCGCGUAGGCGACCUGUUAAGUCGAACAUGAAAUCCCUGGGCUCAACCCAGGAACUGCGUCCGAUACUAGCAGGCUUGAAUCCGAGAGAGGGAUGUGGAAUUCCAGGUGUAGCGGUGAAAUGCGUAGAUAUCUGGAGGAACACCGGUGGCGAAGGCAGCAUCCUGGACCGGUAUUGACGCUGAGACGCGAAAGCCAGGGGAGCAAACGGG
rnacentral:rRNA from 1 species